CUGGGGCGACGUACAACGGAGCUCCCAAAAUCCUCUUCGCCUCCGCUCGGUCCACCCCCAAACUCCGGUAUUAACCCCUUCACGUCUAUGUUCAUUGGCCCAUCGACGCCCCUGGCAUGCAGAUUGCUUCGUGGAGAUUCCGGACACUUAAUUGGUAAAAUACAUAAAAGACCGGGCCUGUCCCUUAGUUAUAGUUAUCUAUUGAAGAUUUUCUCAACUUGCUUGUAAGUUGACUUGUAAACUUACUAACUCAUUUUUAAAUAGGAGCUUAACUUGUUGACGACAUGAACGGUUUAUAAUGAUGCGUUUAAGCUUCCGGACCUACCAAAACUCUCAAUUUCCUGUUUCUAACUGUUCACCUUGAACCUGUGCCUUUUCUACCCUCCAUUCCCCAUCUCUUUUUGGUUCUUGACUGAUUAUUUAACUGCAUACCUCAAUGGUUAAGGGCACAGGCUUUGUAAACCUGACUUUCUGGGUUUGAAUCUCCAUUCUGCCACUAUGGAACCGUGGAAUCUUGGGCAAGGGAUUUAAGCACGCUAUUCCUUGGCUUCCUCAUCUGUAGAAUGGUUAUGAUAGUAGGUUGUAGUGAGAAUUUUAAAAGUCGCAUGCAAGCAGCACCUAAAACAUUGCCUAGCACAGAGUUAAGCGGUAUAUUGAAAUAGAAAUUAUAAUUAUUGACGCUAAUGGAUAUGUCUUCUCAGCUAAGACCUUCUCGCUGAUAAAUAAUAAACAGCAAUCAUGGUUAACGUUUGAGCGUCUGUGGACCAGCAGCUAAGAAAAUUCAGGCCAGGAGCUUCCCUGGUGACGCAGUGGUUAAGAAUCCACCUGCCAAUGCAGGGGACACGGUUUCGAGCCCUGGUCCGGGAAGAUCCCACAUGCCGCGGAAUAACUAAGCCCGUGCGCCACAACUACAGAGCCUGCGUGCCACACCUACUGAGCCCGUGUGCCACAACUACUGAAGCCCGUGCACCUAGAGCCCGUGCUCCACAACAAGAGAAGCCACUGCAAUGAGAAGCCAGUGCACUGCAAUGAAGAGUAGCCCCUGCUUGCUGCAGCUAAAGAAAGCCCACGUGCAGCAACAAGGACUCAACACAGCCAAAAAUUAAUUAAUUUUUUAAAAAGGAACAUAAGGGUUCAUAUAUCUUAAAAAAAAAGAGAGAGAGAAAAUUCAGGCCAGUGAGAUAGCAGAUAACUCAAUAACUUGCCCACGGUCACAGAGCUAAUAACAAAUAGAGCCGAGACUUAAACUCAGAGAUGUCUUGGCCCUUCUCAAAUAUCACUGAGAAAAUGGCCAUAAAUUCUUUUGGAGUGUUCUUCUUUUCCCUAAGAGUUGCCUCAAUAUCCAUGCAGGUCAGGAAGGCUAGGUUCUCUUCAGAGACAGAAGGGACAGCAGGCGAUAAAGCAAGGGUCUCUCCUUUGAAGGCUGACAGCAAAGAUGACUAAAAUAGCAAGUCAGAGUGAGCUCAAUUAUUGUGCCCUAUUGUGCCCCACAGGCCCCAUUACUGCCCAAGGCCACCGGAGAUAAAAUGUGCAGGAUCCGCAACUCACCCCAUCAGUCUCUAAAACUUGGGUAUUAUAAAAGAUUUUGCUUGUUUUAAGACAUCACCAAGAGACUCUUUAAUAUACUAUUCUGACUCCAGAUAAAGUGGUAGUAAUUUCCACAUUAGCAGCAGGUAGAAUAAGGUAUUUCUACCUCAGCCCAAGAGCACAGGGAAAUCUCCUCUUUCCCAGAUAAAAACAAAAAAGGAAUACCCUCCUUUCCCUCAGAGCCUACAGUACCCAGGGUCUUGUUACUCUUUCUCCACAUUUUUCAGGAGAAAUACUGGUGAUGAUAAAGGGACUGGUGAAGGAGAAGAAGGUAAGUCCCUAAAUUUGCUGAAGGUAAACCAAGUACUGCUUUGUCCCCACUCCUGUACCACUUUUGUAGCUCCCUGACCUUCUUUACUUCUUUAUGGCACUUCAGAACACAUUACCCUGCACACCCAGGAAAGCCUCUGGGCUUGAAUUGCAGAAGAAUCAACUUGCCUUUCUCUCUUCACAACACCCAACAAUAGCACACGUGUCUGGGCUUGGUUUUCUACUUAAAGUGGGUCAACUGUACUCCAAUAAAUUUUUUUAAGUGGCUAAGUUUAAAAAGAAAAAGGAGAGAUAGCAUGAGAAAGCUUUUAACUUAAUUUCCUCCAUCAUUUAUAGUGUCAAACUAUUAGAAAAUGUCAGCAUAAGGGUAAGGCUGAGAGAAGUCCAGUUCCAGAGGCCUGGUGCAAAGCAAAAGUGUUGACAGAGGGAAAACAAGCAGACAAGGGUGUCUCUAGGGCCAGUAGAAAUAAACAAAGCAGAGAGGUUGGGUGCAGAUCUCAGACACAAACAAGAGACCCUACCCUUACAGCUCCUUUCACCCUAAACCACAUAUCCCCAUUCCAGAGACUUCAUCUGCUUUAAAUUCUCCCAACCAACCCUGUUCUUUCACUGCUGGGCAUCUUGCCCUGAUCACAGAAGCCACCACCAGCUGCUAUUGCUUAGCAAAGAGAGUAGGUAAGGGGAGAGGAUAUUCCUAAAUCGAAUGUUAGAAAGGGAGAUGUGUUCCCAUCAUCUCAUCCCAGUUUUUCUCAUAACAUAAUUUUAGAAAGUGUCAUACAUAGUUUGUGUUCAAGUUCUGCAGUACUUUCUGUGGUAUUUUUCAGUUAUAUGUUUCUUAAGGGCUGAUCUGGGGUCCUGAUACACAUAUGACAGUGUUUCUAUAGUGUACACACACUGCUGGUGCCCAGUUCAGGCCCCCUUUGCAAGGCAGAUGGACGCACCCCCAGAAGCUGUGGGUGUUAGCAGCUAACUACACCCGCUUCCUUUUCUGGAUAAUUGUACUCUGCAGAAUAAGAGCUUCAGUACUCUACAAGACUCCUACUCCCCACACACCCCUGCAUCCUGCAGUCAAUGACUGAUGAUGAGAGUACAUAAUGCCAGACUUUGCCUCAAGGUAGACCAAUUUUGUGGUGCAAAAUCUAUCCCAGCACUCCUUGUGGGGUCAGGUUGAAGCUGGUUUCCAGCUGGCUUAAGUUUUUUCUCCCUGCUGUAUCCUGCUUCCUUCACUCCCCUGCACUUGAGAGCACUCCCCUGAUAAAUCACAUGAAGAACCCCCCUCCCCGCACCUCAGUCUCAGGCUUUGCUUCAGGCAACCCUCCCUAAGACUUUUUUUUUUAACUGAAAUAUAGUUGAUUCACAAUGUUGUGUUAGUUUGGUAUACAGCAAAGUGAUUCAGAUAUAUAUAGAUGUAUAUUCAUUUUCAUAUUAUUUUCCAUUAUGGCUUAUUACAGGAUAUUGAAUAUAGUUCCCUGUGCUAUACAGUAGGACCUUGUUGUUUAUCCGUUUUAUAUCUAAUAGUUUGUAUCUGCUAAUCCCAAAUUCCUAAUUUAUCCCUCCCCCACCCCCUUUCCCUUUGGUAACCGUAAGUUUGUUUUCUGUGUCUUUGAGUCUCUCUCUGUUUUGUAAGUUCAUUUGUAUCAUUUUUUUAGAUUCCACAUACAGCUCAUAUCAUAUAUUUGUCUUUCUCUGUCUGACUUACUUCACUUAGUAUGAUAAUCUCUAGUUCCAUCCAUGUUGCUGCAAAUGGCAUUAUUUCAUUCUUUUUUAUGGCUGAGUAGUAUUCCAUUGUGUAUAUAUACACCACAUCUUUAUCCAUUCAUCUGUCAAUGGACAUUUAGGUUGCUUCCAUGUCUUGGCUAUUGUUAAGUAGUGCUGCUGUGAACAUUGGGGUGCAUGUAUCUUUUCAAAUUAGAGUUUUCUCUGCAUAUGUGCCCAGGAGUGGGAUUGCUGGAUCAUAUGGCAACUCUAUUUUUAGUUUUUUGAGCAACCUCUAUAUAUACUGUUUUCCAUAGUGGCUGUACCAAUUUACAUUCCUACCAACAGUGUAGGAGGGUUUCCUUUCCUAAGACUUUAUUUUAUCUCAUGUUUAUCAGAGGACUAAGCAAGCAAGGCCCUCUGUAGGCCCCCCAUUGUAGGCAGAACAGUCGUAACCAUCUCUGGGGAAGCCAGGGGUGAGUUAAGGUGCAACUAGAUAGGGACCCUCAAAUUAAACUUGGAUACAUGACCUAACAAAUGAAAAUGAGGCUCAGCCUAUUCAUAACAUCUCUUGUCUUGCUGACAUUAACAGACUACAUUCACUGAAAUUAGAAAUAAAAGUAAAUUCUUUCAUGCUUCAUUGUAGUUCUUUUUCAAUACAGAAUCUGAAAAAAAUCUUAUAAUUGUUAGAAAAAGCUAUGUGACACUCCUUAAAAAUUUGGUUAGAUUGUAAUUAUUUUGUGAUAGAUAUUCUUGCUCUAAUAACACGCAUCUUAAAUUUAUCAGUUGUUGGUUGUUUCAUUUCUGUUAACUGUAAACCGUUACUGAAGAUGGCCAAAGAACAAGCCCAAGGUUGGAUACCCGAUAAGGAUGCUCUUAUUAAUCUAGAAGUGUUAAAAAAAAAACAGGCCAGAUUACCAGUUUGCAAAUAAUAAAAAUAUAUCCUAAUUUAAUAAUUCUGCUAUGACUCAGAAGACAUAUUGGGGUCAUUAUUAUAAACCUUGAUCAUAAUAUUGUAGAAGUAUAUAGGUAUUGGUUGAGUAGGGUUCAGGUUGAAAAAGGGUUUAGGUUGAAAAUGACCAGAUUUUUAAAAUUACAUUUGCAGACAUACAAAGUCCUUAACUUCUGGCAUCACAUUCAGUUUUUUUCCUCCAACACAUAAAUCCUAUUAUAUAUCCUUUGUAAAGCCACCCAUACCAAAACAGUUAACUAAAUAUCACUCUUCUGGCUUAAAAUAAAAGAGCCAAGGCAAUUCUUUUCACUGGGAUUAUCCUCUCAAUUAACUUCCAUCUAAAUUAAGACCUAAACAUAUCUGAAAACUUAUUUCUGUAUAUUUGAAUAUAUUCCUUUUAGUGUGACCUCUCAUCAUUAAUUCCCUUUUUUAUUUAUUAUUUUUAUUUAUUUACAUGUAUUUAUUUGUAUGUUAUGUUAUUAUUUAUUUCAAUUCCUUUUUAUUUGUUAUUUAGCGAAAUAUAUUGAUUGUAUCCUCCCUUGAAAAAAGUCAGGUUAUGGAGGGUCUUUUAAGUGGUUGUUUUUGAUUUGGUAACUGAAAUAAGCAUUUCCUAUUUCAUAAGAAUAAAAUAUCAUUAUUAAAAAAUUUAUACUAAUCUGAGAAAUAUUGGUUGUUUCUGAAAAGCCCUUUCUACAUUAGUCAAAUAAAUCUCAAUGUUUAUAGGUCUUAUGUAUUAUUUUAGUUCUGUACAAGAUUUUCAGUAUAGCAUAGGAAAGAAUACUAUUUUAACUUGCAUAACACAGGUAUACUGAAGAGGAGAGAUGACUUUCCUAACUUGUAAUAAUGGUUAAAUGAAGUCUUGGUAAGAGCAAUUGAAGAAUGGAGAAUUACUCAUUAAAAAUUUUAAAGUGCUAAAACAUUGGACUGGAUAGAAUUAUACAGGGGAAUAAUAUAUCUUAUUUCCUUUUCAGAAAUAAUAAGAAAAUUAUAUGAGGGCAGAUAUGUACAUUUUAUUACAAUAGUACCCUCUGUUGGUAUUUCUCAAACAUUUUCUGGCCACCAACCCUUAAGGGUUUCCAUGAUUGUAUAUGAUUAAUAUCACAUCAUCCAUUUCUAAUAAAAAACAUUUGCUAAGUCCUUCAUCUUUCAACAUUCACCAGUUUCACCACAAAAAUUAUAUGAAAUUUCAGUGUCACUGUUUGAUCCAAAAUGCCCAUCUUUCCUGGCCUAGUUGACAGAUACUCAUAUUCUAAAAUCCCAGGCCAAGUGUCACUCCCUCUGAAGACCUUCCCAGUCUCCUUUUUCCUAUGCAGAAUUCAUCCUUUCCUUAAAUGUGCACUCAUAGGUCUUUAUACAUACCUCUUUUAAACCUUACAUCUUACUAUAUUAUAAUUAUAUGUUGUAUCAAUUAGCAAUUGUGUUUGCCUGUCAUUAAGAAACCCAUUAUUUUUCUAUCACAUAAAAGAAAUCUGAAGGUAGGCAGUUCAAUAUUGUUACAGCAGCUCCUUUGAUCUUUUUGCUGUGUUUUCCAAGCUCAAGCUCUGCCUUCCUAACUCAAAGUUUCCUCAGUGUAACAAUAUGGUUGCUGUAGUUCCAGCCAUCACACCCAUGUCCUAGGCAAGAAUGAGUAAAAAGGUAAUGCCUCCCAGCUUAGCAACUUCAUAAGCAUCAUCACUCCUCCUCCCCUACCCCAGUGCAUGUAUGUGCACACACACAUACACAUGGACAAAAUUAUGAAGCUUUCUAGGAAGCCCCACCCAACAACUUCCACCUAUGUACCAUUGACCUAUAUUUAGUCACAUGGGCACCCCUAUCUGAAUGGAAGGCUGAGAAAUUACAUUAUUUCCCAUUUGGGUACAUAGCCACCCCCCAACAAAACCACAUUUUAUCACUUAGAAAGAAUGGGGAGAAAGGUAUGUGAUAGACAACUAGCAAUCUCUGUCACAUUUUUUUCACUUUUUAAAAAAUCAUAUAUGUUUCCUUACCUAGAUUGUAAAAUCUUGGAUGGUUUAGAGUAUGUCAUAUUUAUUUUGUAUUUCCAGGGCCUAGCAUAGUGCAAGACACUGUUCACUGUUUAUUUCCUUCACCUACAAUAUGAAGGGUUAUUCUAUGUAAUCUGCCUAGAUAAAAAAGAUUUCAUGUUUUACCAGAAUAAUUUUCCGUGCUUUGUAUUGACUUUAUCAUGUCCUUGAUUAUUUAAGAAAACAAAGUUUCCUCACUUAUGAAAGAGCUAAUGUUCUUGAUAGUCAUAUUACUUCUGUUUAUUUUUAAGUGCUUUAUUGUUCCUUUCACAUGAAUAGCCAAAUAUUGUUUCUUUUCACCAACUCUCCUAUUUUAAGUAUCCAAAUCUCCUGACUUUUGAUUCUGUUUCCUUCCUAAGAUUGACUCCUAAAUGUAAAAUGAAAUAAAAUAACUUUCAGGAUAUAUUUUCUACCAGGCCCCUGGACAAUCAAAAACUUGUUCUUUCACCUUAGAAAAAGAUGCUAGAAACUAUUAUGUUUAUUCAAUAUUACUAUUGAUGAGAUGCAUGGGAAGAGUUUUCUAAUCAGAAGAGAUGCUCAGCCUUCUCCAGGUUAAAUAUGUAUGGGCAAAAUGUUAUUAACAUAAAAAUUUCAAAAUUGUAUGCUAAAUGGGAAGCACCUAGAGAUUUCUCAAGACCCUUGGUCUCCAUGAUGUUUCUAUUUGUCAGAGUCCUGGUGAUUCUUUGCCUGAGAAUAUUAGGCAAUAGCAGUAUAGCAUGAUCAGUUAUAAUUUCAGUUACUAUUUUAAACUGCUUCUUGGCCACAACCUUCUUAUUAAUUUGAAUCUAGCAUCUUCAAGGCCAGUGGUUUUUAAAUGAGGAUGUGCAUCAGACUUAACCUAUGGAUUUCCAUUAAAAUAAAGUUUUUUUGGUAACUGCUCCAGA